AUGGCUUUUUGUGAGUUUACACCAGUCAGUUGAAAGGCAAUGGAAAACUAACAGCAUUUUGUAUUUCCUAAUCUUUAUACAGGGGUUAAUGUGGAUUUCUAAGCAGGAAGAAUGGCUGUUACACCUGUUUUUCCUCUGGGCCAUGAUUCCCUGAACUUUGAGUCCAUGCAUGUCAAUACAUCCUUUUAAUGCUCUGAAUUUCUUUUCAGUUCAAGAGCCUGUUUGGAAGGAUCCUGGUAGAUCAGUCAGUGCAGCAGAGGACCAUGAACUCCAUCGCAGACAUCCACAAGCUGCAAAUCUAUAUCAAAAGGGGAUGCACAAGAUCAUUUCAGCAAAUAGGAGGAGGAGGAAGGCAUCUGAAAUGCAGAUCAGAAGGGGCUCAUGAGCAAGUGCGAUGCAGAAGCCCUGUUGAGCGUGUGACACAUGAGAGUUUUGGAUCCAUGAUCCUGGCCAAGUAUCAGCAUGGUAAUGAUUGAUAGAUUCUUUGCUACACUUGGGGGAAACUGUUGCACUUCACCAAGAACACAAUAGGACCUGUUCAUUUUUCUCUGUCUCUUGCCACCUGAGACCCAGUUAUAUACUUUCCAAUGCACAAAAUUCAUGUGUUUUGCCAGCCAUAAUAAACAUGUCAGGAUAAUGCAGGAAAUGACACAAUGCUGCUGAGUUCUGGCUUCUUUAUUAUUUAAAAGGGUAAAGCCUGGUAGUAACAGAACUGACUGGAUAUCUAUGGUUCUAUGAUUCUAUGGUAUGUUAAUGUGCAGAUGGAAACAAGCCUUUAAGGAGUAUUAACAAACCCUGUUCUCCCUAUUUGAUUCCCCUGGCUUUGUGAGAGGAAAGGAAGUGAGCAGGUAGCAUACAUUCCUAAUCAUCACAAGUUUGAAGGGUGGCUGGACCAUCCUUGUGGCUUUUGUUGGCCUCCAUCAAUGCACUGUGCAUUUGUUCCCUGAAAAUAAAUGUGACUUAUCAGCUGUGUGACAUCGUUUCAAUGCCACCAGGGCAGGCAGGCAGACUUUUCCAAUGGAAUGCAGCUCCUUCAACUUGUUCACAAACAAACAGCAGGUCCUGGUACUCUCCUUCAUCUGUUUCCAUAGAUGUGUUUGGCUGCCGAGUGGGGAAGUCUUUACGCUUCGCUGUGGGAAGAGUAUGGGAUGACUCACUCUGCAGCAGUGAGCUGGGAUGCUUCUGCUCGCUGCCUCCAGACUCAUUUAUCAUGAAGGUGGAAGAGUUUUGGUCUGCUGAAUGUCACCAUCCUUGUUUUCUCUGCCUGGACUUCCCCCAUUGUUUCUAGGUGGAUCUUUAAUGGAAAAACUGGAUCUGUCUCCUAUAGAUGCUCCUGUGAUGAUGCUGUGGUCCUGGGUGGGACCCAGCAGCCUCUUCCCUCUCACACCUCCAGACACUGCACCAUGGCAGCAUUCCCAAGGCAUGGCAGGGCCCAGGCUGCUGAGAGCAAUGGGGCUGGUACCUGCAGUCCCAUGGAAGGAGCAGCACUUCCUGGCUCAGUGCCCUGCUCUCCUGGCUGCUUCCCACCUUGGUGCCCUGCCUGUUGUGCAGCUGGAGCCCUGCUCCUGAUUUACGAGUUCAAUAAAUAUCCAUGGUGUGAAUGGAGAUUAACGUGUCUCCAUCUCAGGUAUGGAUGGUGCCAAGGAUGCAGAGAGACCUCCGAAUGGUUGCAGGAGAAGCUGGAAAGGCCACUUAAUGGUCCUAGCAGUAGGUUUGAGUCACAGAGAUGCCCUUCCACCCAUCUACUCCUGCUUUCACAGCCUUAAGUGCCAACUGCCUUGUCACAGCUAUUCGUCCUCACUACAGAGAUGGAUUUACUUUGAUGCAGGCUUGCCAUCGAGGUCAGUUUUAACACGUGUGUUAUGUAGGAAAGCUUGAGCAUCCUCAUGACUUUUGCCUAGUGAAUAAACCUAUGUCUUUCAUCUUG